rnacentral:rRNA from 1 species
AUGAAGGCAGCAUUAAAAACUAUCCUCCCACAUACUCUGCAUAAGUUGUGUCGGUGGCAUAUCAUGAAGAAGUACAAAGACCACCUCGCCUUGCUGUAUAAGGCGCACGAGAAACUCAAGGAUGACCUCAAUGCGGUGCUGAACCACCCACUAAUGUCGUCAGAAUUUGAACGAGCAUGGAAGGACCUCAUUCAGAGAUACAACUUGCAAGACGAUGAAGUGAUGAUUUCGCUGUGGGAUGACAGGCACGAGUGGAUCUCGGCUUACUACAAGGAAAUUUCCUGUGCUCGGAUGACUUCCACACAGAGAAGCGAGAGCAUGAAUCGCACACUGAAGAAAAACUUUGUCAAAGAGAAGCAUGAUCUCCAUUUGUUUGCUCAGUAGGUGGACAAGUGCAUUCAGACCAGGAAGGCCGUCGAGCACGCAGAGACAGUAGCAAAUGAGUCAGAGGUAAAGACAACAAUCCAGUUUGGGUUCGAAGUUCAGCUAUCAAAAGUGUAUACAAGGGCAGUGUUUGCAGAUUUCAAAGAAACACUCUACCAUAGCACUGCAUUCAGAGCAGAACGGUGCCCUGAGAACCCGACAAAGUAUCUCGUACACCACUAGAACAGAUCGGAUGCAUUUGACUGGGCAAGGCAUAAUUUCCAAGUGGUCGCCGAUGAAGAGAAAGGUGUCUACGAAUGUGAGUGCAAACUCUAGACACACACAGGGCUCUUUUGCGUCCAUGUGUUAUGCAUGCUUUCUCAUUUGAGAGUACUCAAGAUUCCUGAGGUGUACAUCAAGAAAAGAUACACCCGUAACGCAAGAUCAAAUGCGACGUUUGACAGAAGAGACUACGAACAAACAACACCAGAUGGAACCUCGCUUUUUUGCCGUAGAAAAUUGCUGACAGAAACAACAAUGGACCUUGCAAACAGAGCGACAAGGUCCGACGCUGGGUGCCACAGAGCAUUGUCUGCUAUGAGGGCACUGAUCGAGGCAGUUGAUGUGCUCAACGAAGAAGAAGAAGAAGAAGCAGCCAAACUAAAGCAAGCAGAGAAAUCCGAACAUGACAAUAAUGCCGAGCAAGUAGAAAAUACCGAACACAGCGGAACUGGUGCUAUCAAAAAAGAAACAAUUCUUCCACCUCCUGUUUCAAACACAAGAGGGAAGAAAGGGGCCGACGCAACCCAGAAAAAGGUUGCAUGCAAGGAGAAAAAUGAUGACAAAAACAGUAAGCCACAGCCUGAGCUGGACAGUUGUAACACCCCGACACCGACGCUCCAGUUGCCUUCCUUGUUUUUCGUGUUCGCCGUGUGUUUUAUUUGUGUGUUGCAUUCAUCAUCGCGUCAUUUGCAUUGCAUGGGCACUCGUUGCCGUCAUUGUUUUUAA